UACGGAGGAUCCGAGCGUUAUCCGGAUUUAUUGGGUUUAAAGGGUGCGUAGGUGGAAAUAUAAGUCAGCCUGUGAAAGUUUGCGGCUCAACCGUAAAAUUGCAGUUGAUACUGUAUUUCUUGAGUGUACAUAAGGUAGGCGGAAUUCGUGGUGUAGCGGUGAAAUGCUUAGAUAUCACGAAGAACUCCGAUUGCGAAGGCAGCUUACCGGGGUACAACUGACGCUGAUGCACGAAAGUGUGGGUAUCAAACAGG
rnacentral:rRNA from 1 species